rnacentral:lncRNA from 1 species
ACAAAAUGUAAUUCUGCAGUCCAGCAGCAGGCUUGGUCUCCUGGACACAGCCAGAGGGUUUCAAGUGCCCCAUUUGUUCCAAGUCUGUGGCUUCCGAUGAGAUGGAAAUGCACUUUAUAAUGUGUCUGAGCAAACCUCGCCUGUCCUACAAUGAUGAUGUGCUGACUAAAGAUGCGGGUGAGUGUGUGAUCUGCCUGGAGGAGCUGCUUCAGGGGGACACGAUAGCCAGGCUGCCUUGCCUGUGCAUCUAUCACAAAAGCUGCAUAGACUCAUGGUUUGAAGUGAACAGAUCUUGUCCAGAACACCCUGCUGAUUGACCCUUCUGGGCCUGCUUACGGACUCCUCUCAAAGGGACAGCCAGCCCCUGUUCCUGGGAGGAGGCUCCUCGGACACUGGACAGAGCUGAGCUUGGGACACCAGAGAGAACAGGGCACCCUUCUGCACUGGCUUCCAGAAAACGGUCCUCCCCGAGGACACCCAGUGGAUGAGAGCGAGUCUGAGAGAAGAAUGAAUUGACCUCUAUCCUUCCCCUCACCCUCGACCCAGGAGGGAAAGGGCAUUUUCUUUUUCACCUUUGAAAGGCGUUGUGGGUCUGUCUUUAAAAAGUGUUUACAAACAACAAAAAAUUCUAUAAAAAGUC